rnacentral:rRNA from 1 species
GUAGGUGGCAAGCGUUGUCCGGAAUUAUUGGGCGUAAAGCGCGCGCAGGCGGUCCUUUAAGUCUGAUGUGAAAGCCCACGGCUCAACCGUGGAGGGUCAUUGGAAACUGGGGGACUUGAGUACAGAAGAGGAAAGCGGAAUUCCAAGUGUAGCGGUGAAAUGCGUAGAGAUUUGGAGGACCACCAGUGGCGAAGGCGGCUUUCUGGUCUGUAACUGACGCUGAGGCGCGAAAGCGUGGGGAGCAAACAGGGAUUAGAUACCCUGGUAGUCCACGCCGUAAACGAUGAGUGCUAAGUGUUAGGGGGUUUCCCGCCCCUUAGUGCUGCAGCUAACGCAUUAAGCACUCCGCCUGGGGAGUACGGCCGCAAGGCUG